rnacentral:tRNA from 3 species
GCUGCUGUAGCUCAGGGGUAGAGCACGUCAUUGGUAAUGACGAGGCCGAGAGUUCAAAUCUCUCCAGCAGCACCA